AGAGUUUGAUCCUGGCUCAGGAUGAACGCUAGCGACAGGCCUAACACAUGCAAGUCGAGGGGCAUCGGGACGUAGCAAUACGUUGCCGGCGACCGGCGGAUGGGUGAGUAACGCGUAUGCAACCUACCCGUAGCAGGGGGAUAGCCCGUUGAAAGACGGAUUAAUACCCCGUAACACAGGGGCUCCGCAUGGAGAUUAUUGUUAAAGGGUCAUUUCUUUUUCAGGGAUGGUCCGGCUGCGGAUGGGCAUGCGUUCCAUUAGGUAGUUGGUGUAGGUAACUGCUCACCAAGCCGACGAUGGAUAGGGGAACUGAGAGGUUGGUCCCCCACACUGGUACUGAGACACGGACCAGACUCCUACGGGAGGCAGCAGUGAGGAAUUUUGGUCAAUGGACGCAAGUCUGAACCAGCCAUGUCGCGUGAAGGAGGACGGCCCUAAGGGUUGUAAACUUCUUUCGCAGUGGAAUAAAGUUUGCCACGUGUUGGCGAUUUGCAAGUACGCUGCGAAUAAGGAUCGGCUAACUCCGUGCCAGCAGCCGCGGUAAUACGGAGGAUCCAGGCGUUAUCCGGAUUUAUUGGGUUUAAAGGGUGCGCAGGCGGGGAAUUAGGUCGGCGGUGAAAUUUCGGGGCUCAACCUCGACAGUGCCGUUGAAACCGUUUCUCUUGAGUGCGGAUGAGGUAGGCGGAAUUUGUGGUGUAGCGGUGAAAUGCGUAGAUAUCACAAGGAACACCGAUUGCGGAGGCAGCUUACUAAACCGUUACUGACGCUCAUGCACGAAGGCGUGGGGAUCAACAGGAUUAGAUACCCUGGUAGUCCACGCAGUAAACGAUGAUUACUUGCUGUUUGCGAUACACAGUAAGCGGCGAAGCGAAAGCGUUAAGUAAUCCACCUGGGGAGUACGUUCGCAAGAAUGAAACUCAAAUGAAUUGACGG
rnacentral:rRNA from 1 species